AAAAAAAAACAAUAGACUCAUAUCCAAAAUUGGAUUUUUAGACAUUAGUUUGGAUCUCAUACGUGUCGCUAUAUUACUGGUGGAUAUAUUUGUAGAAGAGGGAAAUUUUUUUGACUCCGUGUUUUUUUUUUAAUCUCUCUCUCUCUCCCUCUAUCUCUCUCUCUCAUGCACGGCAAUUGAGCUCUGUCAGACGAAAUCCGAAGCAAACGGAGGAGAAGAUUGAGCUCGGACUCCUCGAUGCGGCGUGAACAUCAUCUCCACUGACGCUGGUCACGAUUGGCGAGUUGGGUUCAGCAAUUUGGAGGUACUAGGUUAAGCAAAUCCGCGACUUUCAAUGAAGCAAUCAGAGUAUUUUCUUCAAUAAAUCGGCGUUUUUCCUUCACCAAUCUCUUUCUGAGGUUUGAUUGGAGGCCCAUCGAAGUUUGCUCUGCUCAUAUAAUGGAACAUGAAUCUUGUAACACAAACAACUUAUACACAUUUUUUCAAAAUUUGAAAUUUUUAGAUCCUCACUUUUUGGAUCUCACCAUUGGACUGUCUCAAAAUAAAAAACACUCAAACAUUCUAAAUUUUUUAUUUUCCAUUGUUAAAAUUAUAAAUCUUGUUUGGAUCCAACCAUUGGAGGUGCUCUUAUAACACUUGCAGAAGACAAAAUGAGUUUACGUAA